CCCUUAGAUGUCCUGGGCCGCACGCGCGUUACACUGAUGCAUUCAACGAGCUUAUAACCUUGGCCGAGAGGCCUGGGCAAUCUUGUUAACGUGCAUCGUGAUAGGGAUAGAUUAUUGAAAUUAUUAAUCUUGAACGAGGAAUUCCUAGUAAACGCAGAUCAUCAAUCUGCAUUGAUUACGUCCCUGCCCUUUGUACACACCGCCCGUCGCUCCUACCGAUUGGAUGGUCCGGUGAAGCCUCGGGAUUGUGGUUCUUGCCGCUUUAUUGUGGCGUGACCGCGAGAACUUGUCUAAACCUUAUCAUCUAGAGGAAGGUGAAGUCGUAACA
rnacentral:rRNA from 1 species